UGCGCAGGCGGUUGUGCAAGACAGAUGUGAAAUCCCCGGGCUUAACCUGGGAAUUGCAUUUGUGACUGCACAGCUAGAGUGUGUCAGAGGGGGGUAGAAUUCCACGUGUAGCAGUGAAAUGCGUAGAGAUGUGGAGGAAUACCGAUGGCGAAGGCAGCCCCCUGGGAUAACACUGACGCUCAUGCACGAAAGCGUGGGGAGCAAACAG
rnacentral:rRNA from 1 species